rnacentral:pre_miRNA from 1 species
UGAUUGGCUCUGAUUGGAAGAAUAGUGGGUAGACCUCAUGGCAGCCAAUAUUGAGGUCUAACCACUGUCUCUCCAAUCGGAGCCAACCA